rnacentral:tRNA from 1 species
UGGCUCAGUCGUGGAGCACGAAACUCUUGAUCUUGGGGCUGUGGGUUCGAACCCCAC